GUAGGGUGCGAGCGUUGUCCGGAUUUAUUGGGCGUAAAGAGCUCGUAGGCGGCUCGUCGCGUCGACCGUGAAAACCCGCGGCUUAACUGCGGGCUUGCGGUUGAUACGGGCGGGCUAGAGUUCGGUAGGGGAGACUGGAAUUCCUGGUGUAGCGGUGAAAUGCGCAGAUAUCAGGAGGAACACCGGUGGCGAAGGCGGGUCUCUGGGCCGAUACUGACGCUGAGGAGCGAAAGCGUGGGGAGCGAACAGGAUUAGAUACCCUGGUAGUCCACGCUGUAAACGUUGGGCGCUAGGUGUGGGGGGCCUCUCCGGUUCUCUGUGCCGCAGCUAACGCAUUAAGCGCCCCGCCUGGGGAGUACGGCCGCAAGGCUAAA
rnacentral:rRNA from 1 species